UACGUAGGGUGCAAGCGUUAUCCGGAAUUAUUGGGCGUAAAGAGCUCGUAGGCGGUUUGUCGCGUCUGCCGUGAAAGUCCGGGGCUCAACUCCGGAUCUGCGGUGGAUACGGGCAGGCUAGAGUUCGGUAGGGGAGACUGGAAUUCCUGGUGUAGCGGUGAAAUGCGCAGAUAUCAGGAGGAACACCGAUGGCGAAGGCAGGUCUCUGGGCCGAUACUGACGCUGAGGAGCGAAAGCGUGGGAGCGAACAGG
rnacentral:rRNA from 1 species